ensembl:lncRNA novel transcript
GCAGAUGGCUGAAAUUCUGAUCCGAUGUGGCUGGUUAAUGCAUGAUCUGAAAACCCCUGCACUGGUGAUUUUGGGACAGAUCUAGAAUAUACCAAUAAAUAUAUUAACAUACCAAGUAGUCUAGGAGCAGCCACUGGGCGAACACCAAACCUUGCAUCCCUGCUGCUGUCUCUGAGCUCAGCAGACACGUCUUUGCAGAAGAGUUCUAUAAUGGUGGUACAAUGGUGCCCCCUCGUGACAGAAGCUUGAACUACAGCUUGAACAUCGUGUGACAUGAUGAAUGAAUUUAUUGAGCCCCAGGAAGAAGGAAAAUUAAAGAAGAGCAAAGAAUAAUAGCUGGACAGAAGAUGGGGGUCAUUGAACCUAUAUCCUAGUUGCCAGACCAGUAAACUGACCAUGGGACCUGGGGGAGGCAGCAGAUGACCGAAAACCUGGAGUG